AGUGAACGCUAGUGCUACGCUUAACACAUGUACGAGUCGAACGAAACCUAGAUUUGCAGUUUUAUGCGUCGUAAAAUGGUUUAGUGGCGAACGGGUGAGUAAAAUGUGAGAAUUUACCUAAUAGUUUGGGAUAUUUGUAUCGGGAGGUACAGGGAAUACCGAAUAAUAGACAAAAGAUUGAAUUUUCGCUAUUAGAUAAGCUGACAUAGUUUUAGGUAGUUGGUGGGAGUAAGAGCUUACCAAGCCGACAAUGCUUAGCUGAUAUGAAAGUAUGACCAGCCACAUUGGAACUGAGACACGGUCCAAGCUUCUACGGAGGACAGCAGUGGGGAAUCUUGGGCAAUGAGCUAAUGCUUGACCCAGCGAUAUCACGUGUACUUCGAAAGCCUUAUAUGGUUGUAAGGUACUACAGCAUGAAAAAUAACGACUUAAAGUGUCAAGAAGCCCUUACAAAUUUUGUGCCAGCAGCCGCCGUAAAAC
rnacentral:rRNA from 1 species